AUACGUAGGUGGCAAGCGUUGUCCGGAAUUAUUGGGCGUAAAGCGCGCGCAGGUGGUUUCUUAAGUCUGAUGUGAAAGCCCACGGCUCAACCGUGGAGGGUCAUUGGAAACUGGGAGACUUGAGUGCAGAAGAGGAUAGUGGAAUUCCAAGUGUAGCGGUGAAAUGCGUAGAGAUUUGGAGGAACACCAGUGGCGAAGGCGACUAUCUGGUCUGUAACUGACACUGAGGCGCGAAAGCGUGGGGAGCAAACAGGAUUAGAUACCCUGGUAGUCCACGCCGUAAACGAUGAGUGCUAAGUGUUAGGGGGUUUCCGCCCCUUAGUGCUGCAGCUAACGCAUUAAGCACUCCGCCUGGGGAGUACGGUCGCAAGACUGAAACUCAAAGGAAUCGACGGGG
rnacentral:rRNA from 1 species